CGUCAGCUCGUGUCGUGAGAUGUUGGGUUAAGUCCCGCAACGAGCGCAACCCUUGUCUUUAGUUGCCAUCAUUAAGUUGGGCACUCUAGAGAGACUGCCAGGGAUAACCUGGAGGAAGGUGGGGAUGACGUCAAAUCAUCAUGCCCCUUAUGCUUAGGGCUACACACGUGCUACAAUGGGUAGUACAGAGGGUUGCCAAGCCGUAAGGUGGAGCUAAUCCCUUAAAGCUACUCUCAGUUCGGAUUGUAGGCUGAAACUCGCCUACAUGAAGCUGGAGUUACUAGUAAUCGCAGAUCAGAAUGCUGCGGUGAAUGCGUUCCCGGGUCUUGUACACACCGCCCGUCACACCACGGGAGUUGGAGACGCCCGAAGCCGAUUAUCUAACCUUUUGGAAGAAGUCGUCGAAGGUGGAAUCAAUAACUGGGGUGAAGUCGUAACAAGGUAGCCGUAUCGGAAGGUGCGGCUGGAUC
rnacentral:rRNA from 1 species